ensembl:lncRNA
AAAACAUUCCACUCAACAGCAACAGAAUACACAUUCUUGUCAGAACCCCAUGGAACACAGAAAUCAUAUCCUGAGUGAGGAACCAACCUCAACAAAUUUAAAGAAAUUAAAAUUAUUCAAAAAAUCAUUCAGAGCAUGUUCAUCAAGCAGAAUGGAUUCAAACUAGAAGUCAAAAUACAAAGGACAUGAAUCUUUCAUGAAAAGUCUUGUUUGGGAAUUAGUCAUACCUUGCAAGAAUAAAUCAUAUUCAUGUCAACUUGGCUUCAUCAAAAUUUCAUGAAGAAAGAGCUUCACAAUUGUGUACAACAACAUAUAAAUUAUAUUUGAUCCAGGUGUAAUAAAGAAUAUGAAGACUAUGAAAAAAAUAAAGAAAAAUAAAUUAAUUCCCCACUGCAACUGAAUGUCUAUUUGGCCUGGAAAAUAUCCAGUGUUUGACCUGAGGGGGAAAAAAAACCAGCAGCUAGAAAUGCUG